GGGCAAUUGGUCUAGUGGUAUGAUUUCCCCUUAGCAGACGCGGACAUCCAUGUGUAACGUGUACGCCUGGGGAAGGUCCUGGGUUCAAUUCCCAGAUUGUCCA